UUCGUAGGGACCGAGCGUUGUCCGGAAUCAUUGGGCGUAAAGAGCGUGUAGGCGGCUAUUUAAGUCCUGCGUGAAAUCCUGCGGCUCAACCGCAGACGGUCGUGGGAAACUGGAUGGCUAGAGUGCGGGAGAGGAGAGUGGAAUUCCCGGUGUAGCGGUGAAAUGCGCAGAUAUCGGGAAGAACACCCGUGGCGAAGGCGGCUCUCUGGAACGCAACUGACGCUGAGACGCGAAAGCGUGGGGAGCAAACAGG
rnacentral:rRNA from 1 species